ACCGACGAUAGCAUCUGCUGUCGCUGAUUUAACCAUCACCGACCCAACAUCUCAACUUUUCACCGGAGCAUGUCAAAACCCAGAAAUCGUCGACUAUUUCUAGAUCCUCUCAUUUCCGAUGAUAGAUUGACGUUAAUUCAUCCUCACCGCUGACUGAUUCCGCUGCUACCUUAACCGAUGCAGCUCAGCUCUGCAAUCCCAGGUAAAUUCCGAAACUCCCAUAGCCAUCUCUUUACCAAAAUGUUAUUUCAGUUUCUGUUGCUGUGAUUUGCAAUUACUUCUGAAAUCUUACUGUCUUCCUUUUCAUCUGCAGCUGCUGAAGACACUUUUGAUUUCAAAAACUAAGCAUCGUGAAUUGCAGGUAAAACCCCAAAUUCCUUUGACGCUUCCAAACUUUCAAAUUUGACCACCUGAAAAUUUUGCCAUUUGAGAAGAUCAACCCGUAAUGAAACACUUCUUCUCUGUUACCCUGAAAUGAUGACUUUUACCAAUCUCAUCUCACAUUUUUCAAACUUUACAAUCUGAAAAAACUUUGUCGAUUUCUUAUGUUACCGAUACUGAAUUUUUUUUUUCAAUAUCUUCUGUCUUUGUGAGAUGCCCAAAUCGACAAGAGCAAUCUCAAGACGCUUUUGGAAACAACUACGGAAUUACAUUGAGAAGCACCAGGAACUUCUCAAACGUGUUUCCAGGUAAGCACUUUGUGAGCAUGUCUGCUGGAUUAGCUGUAGUGUGAACCUUUAGGAUCUUGACUGAACCUUCAUCGACUAUAUCUCUGAUAAAAUGAUAUUUGGUAUCAACAUGCUUUGUUCUGUCAUGGUGCACACUGUUCUUUGCUAAACAUAUAGCACUUUGUGAAUUACAAUUGAGUUUAAAACUGUCCUCUUUAAAACCCAAUUCACCACACAAUCCCUUAAGCCACAGACCUUCCUUAGUAGCCUCAGAUAGAGACAUAUAUUUUGCUUUCGUAGUAGAUAAAGCAACUACUUGUUGUAGACAUGAUCUCCAACUGACCGUAUUGCCACCAACUUUGAAAACAUAGCCUGAAACUGACCUUCUCCUGUCUAAGUCUGUAGCAUAAUCUGAAUCACAAAACCCUUCAAUCUCAAAUUUCUCUGAUUUUGUGAAAGUAAGACAUACUCCUGUAGCUCCUUUUAAAUACCUCAAAAUCCACUUAACCGCAGCCCAAUGAGAUCUUCCUGGAUUCGCCAUGAAUCUGCUAACCAAUCCAAUGGCAAAGGCUAGAUCAGGUCUUGAACCGAUCAUAGCAUACAUCAGACUCCCCACUGCACUUGCAUAGGGAACUGAAUCCAUCAAUCUACUCUCUGUUUUUACCUCCUGCUCUGUUAGACUCUUAAGCUUAAACUGCGAAUUACUUGGAGUUACAACAGCCUUGCAAUCCUCCAUGUUAAAAGUUCUUAAAACCUGCUUAAGAUAUCUUUCCUGUGAUAACUUGAGAGUACCUUUCUUUCUGUCCCUGAUGAUAUCCAUACCAAGAAUUCUAGUCGCUGGUCCUAGAUCCUUCAUCUCGAACUUUUUACUUAAGCUUGCCUUCAAGGCUUUGAUCUUUUCCAUAUUCUUUGCUGCCACAAGCAUGUCAUCGACAUAUAGUAAGAGAUAAACCAUAUCAUCAAUACAUGAUCCCUUAGUGUAAACACAUGGAUCCCUAGCGCUCCUUUGAAACUCCAUUGACUUCAUGAAUUCAUCAAACUUCUGAUUCCAUUGUCUAGGUGACUGUUUCAAACCAUAUAGAGAUUUCUUAAGAAGACAGACCUUGUCUUCGUUUCCCUUCUCUAUAAAACCCUCUGGCUGACUCAUGUAAAUGACUUCAUCAAGUGUACCAUGUAAGAAAGCAGUUUUCACGUCUAGUUGCUCCAAUUCCAGAUCAAAAUUAACCACAACUGACAACAUGAUUCUAAUAGAAACAUGCUUAACCACCGGAGCAAAUAUUUCGUUGUAAUCCACUCCUUCAACCUGUGUAAAUCCCUUAGCUACAAGUCUUGCUUUGUAUCUAGGUUCUUCAACACCUGGAAUGCCCUCCUUGUACUUGAAGAUCCACUUACACCCAACUAUUUUCUGCUUUCUCGGCUUAGAGACAAUCUCAAAAGUUUCAUUUUUAUCCAGAGAUUGUUUUUCCUCUUCCAUAGCCUGCUUCCACUUCUUCCAGUCUUUACUUCGUCUAGCUUCUGCGACUGACCUUGGUUCAUUUAACUCUAUGCUUUCAGCGCUAGUUAAAGCAUAAGCUAAAUAAUCAGCAUCCUCAAACCUCGAUGGUGGUUUGAUAGUUCUUCGCUCUAUGUCUCUUGCCAGCAAAUAAUCAUCAAGAGACUCUUCUUCAUCCUGAUUUUCUUGUUCUUCCUCAGAUUCCUGCUCCUCUUCUGAUUCUGAAUGUUCCGAAGUAGCUCCACCUUGACCAGCAGAAUCUGUAUUUCCUGAAACCUCUCCACCUUGACCAGUGGACUCUUGAACCGAACCAUUUGGAGUAGGUCCUUGGAUCAAUCCAGCUUUGAAAGUAACUUUCUUCUUCUUUGUAGAUUUUGUUACUUCAUUCUGAUCUCGGUCCUUAUACAACUUUUCCUCAUCAAAGACUACAUUCCUGCUGUUAGUACAUUUUCCAUCCUCCAGAAUCCAAACCCUGUAACCUUUAGUACCCUGUGGAUAUCCUAAGAAAAUCCCUUUAACAGCUCUUGGACUCAUCUUGUCUUGUAUUACAUGAACAUAUGCAACACAACCAAAUCGUCUGAGAUGACUGUAAUCAACCUUUGAUCCUGACCAAACCUCUUCAGGAAUCUUGAACUUCAGCGAUGCAUUUGGUGAUCUGUUUAUGAGAUAAACUGCAGUAGAAGCUGCCUCAGCCCAAAAUUUCUUUUCCAUUCCUGUUUCUGCUAACAUACACCUGAUCUUCUCAGCUAUUGUCCGAUUCAUCCUCUCAGAUACUCCAUUUUGCUGUGGAGUAUAAGUGCAAGUUCGAUGUCUUUUAAUCCCUGAAUCCUGACAUAGCUUAUCCAUCUGAUUGUUGCAGAACUCUAAUCCAUUAUCAGUUCGCAGACACUUUAUCUUCUUACUCUUCUGAUUUUCCACUAGUGUUUUCCACUCUGAAAAAUUUUCAAACACUUCGUCCUUACUCCUUAGGAAUCUGAUCCAAACCUUCCUUGAGUAAUCAUCAAUGAAAGUAAGAAAGUAUCUACACCCUGUCAUGCUUGGCUCGUUUGACACUGAGCCCCAAAGAUCACUGUGAAUGUAUUCCAAAAUACACGUAGUAGUGUGUUGGCCAACUGGAAAACUCUGCUUGUGAGACUUACCAAACACACACUUUUCACAGAAAUCUAAAGUGUGGACUUCCUUUGAGUCUAGAUAACCUCCUUUGACCAGAAGAUUCAUGUUCUUAAGACUCAUAUGUCCUAGCCUUGAAUGCCAUCUGUUCGUUAGAUUUACCUCCGUCCUGACCACAGAUGCUUCUCCUCUCACAACUGUUCCCUGCAAAUAGUACAGCCCGUUCUCAUAUUUUCCUGAAAUCACUUUCUGGCCCUUCUUGUAGAAAGUAACUAUGAAGUCCUUCCCUUCAUACUUGCACCCGUUCUUCUCUAGCUGGCCAUAAGAGAUGAGAUUUUUGCUCAUGGUUGGCAUGUAUCUCACAUCAGUUAAUAUCACGGUAGCUCCUUCUGAGUUUAUGAUCUUGAUUUUCCCAAUGCCUUUGACUUCGCUGUGAGUGUUGUUACCCAUCAUCACCUUUCCGCCAUCAACUUCUUUGAAGUCAUACAAGACAUCUCUAUCAGGUGUAAUGUGGAAAGUACACCCAGAAUCCAUGACCCAUUCAUCCAUAGUGUCUUGGACGCUUGCUGUUAAGAUCAUAGGUUCCUCUCUUUCAUGUACUACAUUUGCAAAUCUUGUUUCCCAUACUUUCUUUCAGGGCACUCUUUCUUGUAGUGUCCUUCUUUCCCACAUAUCCAACAUUCUCUAGCUUUUGGUUGAUUCUUUGGUCUAGACUUCGACAUUGAAUCUCUGCUCUUGGAUCUACCUUUACUCUGACCUGUAGUCCUCUUUUCAGACCUCCCUCUACUUGCAACCAAAGCAUCUGCACUUGACUUUGAUUUUCCUAGAAGUCCACUCUCUUUUAGCUCGAUUUCCUUGGCAUAUGCUGAAGCGGUAACUUCAUUCAUAGUAAGUGUCUCUUUCCCGUUGCCGUAUUUGAGAGUAUGAACUAGUGAAUCAAACUGCUUAGGUAAGCUAGACAACACCUGAAUUGCCUGAUCUUCAUCACUUAUAGUUAUACUCAAGCUCUCCAAAUCGUCCACCAGUCUAAGAAACACGUCAAGAUUCUCCUCUAUGCUUUUGUGCUCUUCCAUCUUAAAACUGGCAAAUCUCUGCUUCAGAUAAAUGCGAUUUGGUAAGGUCUUUGUCUGGUAAUCCUUUUCUAGAGCUUUCCACACACCUAGAGCUGUUGUUUGCUUCAUAACCUUCCGCAAGACCAGAUUACUAAGGCUGGAACAUAUCAAGUUCUUUGCCUUUUUGUCUAUCUCCUUCUUCUUUGGAUCAACCGGAGAUGGAGUUGCCUUAGCAUCUGUCUCAUCUUCUUUUCCUUUUCCUUUGUCAGAUGCUGCGAUAGUUUAUUCCUCAUUAAUUGCAGAAUCUAACCCUAGAUUUUCAAG
rnacentral:lncRNA from 1 species